GAUUCUGACACUGCCUUGGCAGCAAGAUAAGCUCUGUGUGCCCUGAAAGUGCAAGAACACAGCGGUGAGCAUCUUUUAGAAGGGAACCUCACCAACCACAAGCUGAACCAGGGACUAUUUGUCAGGCACUCACAGAGUGGUGAGAUGCACACAAACCCUGGCAACGGGACAAAGAGAUGUAGAGAUAUUAACUCAUUGCUUAAGUCUCAUGAUUUCCGUGCAGUAUUUGGAUACUGAUGAUGGUAAAAUCACCCUUGAGUGAACUGCAGUCAACUGCGAUAUCUGCAGACCUUGACCAAAUAUCAGGCUGGCAGCAGUGUUUUGCAAGCUAUGGCUCUGGAUAACACAUUGUCUCAGGAUUGCUUCUGAGUUCCUCAGACCUUUUUGUAUUGGAGAAGAGCUUCAUUCUUGUUAUUAUAGGGUUGUCAGCCUUUGAGUCCAGGCAAGAAGACUGUGGCAGUGGUGGACUGAUGAAGACCACAGUACCGAUCUUCUCAGGUAACCCAUCAACAACCUACAGAACUUUCAUGCACUUCAUGUUGUGGUACAGAAGAUAUCAUGAAACUUCAGUGUUCUUUAUUCUACUGCAAACCACUUAGAUGCCCCCUCAUCAUUUUUACCUUCUGAGGAAGUUACCAAGAAACAGAAUGCAUGAAUUGGACAAUUCAAAGUUCAGUAUUUAAUUCUUUGUUUUUACUCUAGCCUCAAUAAUCAGUGGUCAAUUCGUGCCUUAUGCUUUCUGAUGAAUGUGUGUGGAUAUGCCUUGCUCCUAUACAACCUUCUCUCCAAACUGUCAGCUUUAAUACUUCUAUGCAACCUUAAUACUUUUAUCCAGUCUAAUUUCACCUUACUUAGUACACCUCUAAUUACUGUACAUGCUCCCCUCUUUGAAUUUAUUUUUCUCUUGAAAUCUAUUGGUAAUAAUAAGCACAAGACACUUGUUAAACCUGACUAGAGCUUUUUAGAUCUUAAGUUCUUUAAGGCAGACUCUUUGUUCUUUGUCAGAUUUGUUUUGGUAAAAUGUCAAGUAGGUUUGGAGCUGUGCGCAAAUAACAGAUUAUCCUGUUGACUUUUCCCAUUAAUAUUGCAUCAAGUUGGCAGAACUGCAACAUUUCUGGACAAGAUGAUUGUGCCACUACUUGAAGCAUCUUUUAUAAAAUGAUUAUUCUUUUACUGAUAAUAACCAAAACACAUAACUCAUAUGGGAUAAGGACUAAGCAUUAGCCAUAAGUGCUAGUCCAAAUACUAAAACUGUAUUGCAUUGUGCCUGAUUAUGUGAUUCUGGGUCACAUGCUAGCAAUGCUACAUGCUGGAAUACAAAGUGAAAUCUACUUUAAAUACUAAUGGGAGCCACAGCCGGUGCCAUUGGCUUUUGAGAGAAGUCCACUCUGUUUCCAAUCUGCUUGUGACACACCAUAGGCUCUCAGACUUUUUCUCCUGAAUAUACUACAGCAGGAAACCUAAACACAAUACAAAAAAGUAACUUCUAAACACCCUCUAGUAGCCUUAUUUUCUGCAUUAAAGAAAUUUUAAAUCACAGUGAAAUGGAUUGAGUAGAUAAUAUUGGAGUGUAAAGCUCAUAUUUAUCAAUCAUAAGCGAAGUCUGAUCAGUGCUUUCUUCUUCAUAUACGCUCUGCCAAAGUUCCUAAGCCAGAAAAGUCAUUUUUAGGAAGUGGUAGAAUGACAGGAAAUAGCCAGCGUGCUUACCCAAAUUGAAAGCAAUAGGACUAGUCAGACAGUAAAAGAAAGCCUGCUUGUAACCCUUCUCAAGAUCAGAGCCAUACUAAAUGUUUAGCUUCCAUCUUCAUUUGAAACUGGUAAUUAGUUCAUGACUUCUUGGGGAUAUCUUUUCAGCAAGGUUGUCAGCUGACUGAACAAAGAUCAUUUAAAACCACCAGAGGAAAAGAUACUUUUUUGAAUGAAUCUGAUAUGAGGAAUUAACAGAGAAAGUAUCUCUUGUUUCUUAGAAAGAAAACAUGCCCCAAGCCCUCAUCCUAGCUGUAAAUACACAAAUCUUAGUAUUUGUUUUGAAAGGAAAAUAUUGUUGUAGCAAUAUUUCUUUCCUUGAAAGAAAAGAGGGUGGUGAGACACUGGAACAGGUUGCCCAGGGAAGCUGUGAAUGCCCAUUCCCUGGAGGCGUUCAAGGCUGGAUGGGGCUGUGAGCAACGUGUUCUAGUGUGAGGUGUCCCUGCCUAUAGCAGGGGGUUGGAACUAUAUGAUCUUAAAGGUCCCUUCCAACCCAAACCCUUCUAUGAUUCUGUGAUUCUAUAUUUAGCAGUCACAGUCUUCCAAAUUUGCCCACAGUAGGUGAGGCAGUACUGGCACGUCCCUGGUGGAAAACACUGCUUGGAACAAAUGCAUUCCUACUGUGCACAGUGGAGGUCUACAGAGGAUUUUGGUCCAGAAGCAAAUACUGAUCAUUAGCUUCCCUGAAUAAAUAAUUACACAUAGGCAUUAACAGUUUCAUGUCAACUGCAAAAUAUACAUGCUUGCAGUUCAUAGAGUGUGGCAAUCCUCAAAGUAUAUCAUAGCCCCAAAGGCUCCCGGGACCUUAACAGCAAAUCUAACAUGGCUUAUGGGGUUGCAGCUACUCCCCUGAACCAUAGGAAAGACUGUGCAUGUAUCUACGUCCUGUAAACCACGAUCUAAAGCCUAUUAGCCUCAACCACAGCAGGGCCUCAUCUACCACAAAGCCUCGCAAGGGCAGCAGUUGCAGAGGCGAGCAAAAUCAACCUGUGACCAGUGCGCUCGCUGCAGUAGCUGACUCACCUGUGCGCGAGCAUCAAUCACUUGCAAAACAAACCACAAAACCUCAUUCAGAAGUUUCUACAAACCUGCAGCUUCUGGUUAAUCUGCAGAACGUCUCUUAGAUUUAAAACUCUUUUUCAAAGAUCUCCUGUGCCUAAAUAAAAGGUUGCAACGUUGCAAUGUUUCAACCACUGGUCUCACUUUGAGGGGUCUGCCGGACUCAAUUUAUUUACUGUCAAUGUUUGCUCUGUCGGAUCCACUUAUGAAUUCUUUGCUUACAGAAAGUGCCUCUCAGCUCCUAAUGUUAUAUUCCAUAUAUUUUUACGUUUGUUCCAAGGAAAUUAUCUUUCAACUUUAGAGAAAUGAAAUAAAAUACGUUUUAAAUCUCUUA